rnacentral:rRNA from 1 species
CCAAUAGCGUAUAUUAAAGUUGUUGCAGUUAAAAAGCUCGUAGUUGAAUUUCGGGGUUAGUAGAUUGGUCGUGCCACGGGUAUGUACUGGUCUCACUGAUUCCUCCUUCCUGAUGAACCGUAAUGCCAUUAAGUUGAUGUUGCGGGGAAACUGGACUGUUACUUUGAAAAAAUUAGAGUGUUUAAAGCAGGCUAACGCUUGAAUACAUUAGCAUGGAAUAAUGAAAUAGGACGUUCGAUCCUAUUUUGUUGGUUUCUAGGAUUGACGUAAUGAUUAAUAGGGAUAGUUGGGGGCAUUAGUAUUCAAUUGUCAGAGGUGAAAUUCUUGGAUUUAUUGAAGACUAACUACUGCGAAAGCAUUUGCCAAGGAUGUUUUCAUUAAUCAAGAACGAAAGUUAGGGGAUCGAAGACGAUCAGAUACCGUCGUAGUCUUAACCAUAAACUAUGCCGACUAGGGAUCGGAUGAUGUUAAUUUUUUAAUGACUCAUUCGGCGCCUUACG